GAUGAACGCUAGCGGCAGGCCUAAUACAUGCAAGUCGAACGGUGUCUUCGGACAUAGUGGCGCACGGGUGCGUAACACGUAUGCAACCUACCUUACAUUGGGGGAUAGCCUUUCGAAAGGGAGAUUAAUACCGCAUAAGACAGUAACUAGGCAUCUAGUAGCUGUUAAAGAUUUAUCGAUGUAAGCUGGGCAUGCGUCCAAUUAGCUAGUUGGUGAGGUAACGGCUCACCAAGGCAAUGAUUGGUAGGGGAACUGAGAGGUCAAUCCCCCACACUGGCACUGAGAUACGGGCCAGACUCCUACGGGAGGCAGCAGUAGGGAAUAUUGGGCAAUGGACGCAAGUCUGACCCAGCCAUGCCGCGUGCAGGAUGAAGGCGUUAUGCGUUGUAAACUGCUUUUAUACAGGAAGAAACGACUCUUGCGAGAGGCAUUGACGGUACUGUAUGAAUAAGCACCGGCUAACUCCGUACACAGCAGCCGCGGAAU
rnacentral:rRNA from 1 species